AGCGCCAACCCCCGGCCGUUAGUUGCCAGCGGUUCGGCCGGGCACUCUAACGGGACUGCCCGCGAAAGCGGGAGGAAGGAGGGGACGACGUCUGGUCCAGCAUGGCCCUUACGGCCCUGGGCGACACACGUGCUACAAUGCCCACUACAAAGCGAUGCCACCCGGCAACGGGAGCUAAUCGACAAAAGGUGGGCCCAGUUCGGAUUGGGGUCUGCAACCCGACCCCAUGAAGCCGGAAUCGCUAGUAAUCGCGGAUCAGCCAUGCCGCGGUGAAUACGUUCCCGGGCCUU
rnacentral:rRNA from 1 species